UACGUAGGGUGCAAGCGUUAAUCGGAAUUACUGGGCGUAAAGCGUGCGCAGGCGGUUAUGUAAGACAGGUGUGAAAUCCCCGGGCUUAACCUGGGAACUGCAUUUGUGACUGCAUAGCUAGAGUACGGUAGAGGGGGAUGGAAUUCCGCGUGUAGCAGUGAAAUGCGUAGAUAUGCGGAGGAACACCGAUGGCGAAGGCAAUCCCCUGGACCUGUACUGACGCUCAUGCACGAAAGCGUGGGGAGCAAACAAG
rnacentral:rRNA from 1 species